rnacentral:rRNA from 1 species
UACGAAGGGGGCUAGCGUUGCUCGGAAUCACUGGGCGUAAGGGUGCGUAGGCGGGUUUUUUAGUCCGGGGUGAAAUCCUGGAGCUCAACUCCAGAACUGCCUUUGAUACUGAGGAUCUUGAGUUCGGGAGAGGUGAGUGGAACUGCGAGUGUAGAGGUGAAAUUCGUAGAUAUUCGCAAGAACACCAGUGGCGAAGGCGGCUCACUGGCCCGGUACUGACGCUGAGGUGCGAAAGCGUGGGGAGCAAACAGG